rnacentral:rRNA from 1 species
AUUGAACGCUGGCGGCAGGCCUAACACAUGCAAGUCGAGCGGAGCGGCGGACGGGUGAGUAAUGCCUAGGAAUCUGCCUGGUAGUGGGGGAUAAAGUCCGGAAACGGGCGCUAAUACCGCAUACUAUCAGAUGAGCCUAGGUCGUAUUAGCUGGUUGGUGGGGGAAAGGCCUACCAAGGCGACGAUACGUACCUGGUCUGAGAGGAUGAGCAGUAACACUUGAACUGAGACACGGUCCAGACUCCUACGGGAGGCAGCAGUGGGGAAGAGUGGACAAGGGGCUAAAGCCUGAUCAAGCCAUGUCGAGUGUGGGAAGAAGUUCUUCGGAUUGUAAAGCACUUUAAGUUGGGAGGCGUUACCAACAGAAUAAGCACCGGCUAACUUCUUGCCAGCAGCCGCGGUAAUAC